UACAGAGGGUGCGAGCGUUGUCCGGAAUCACUGGGCGUAAAGGGCGCGUAGGUGGUGACCUAAGCGUGCGGUGAAAGCCCGAGGCUCAACCUCGGGUCGGCCGUGCGAACUGGGUCACUGGAGCAGAAUAGAGGCAGGUGGAAUUCCGGGUGUAGCGGUGGAAUGCGUAGAGAUCCGGAAGAACACCGGUGGCGAAGGCGGCCUGCUGGGUUCUGGCUGACACUGAGGCGCGACAGCGUGGGGAGCAACAGG
rnacentral:rRNA from 1 species